rnacentral:rRNA from 1 species
AGAGUACGUGAAACCGUUUAGGGGUAAACCUGAGAAACCCGAAAGGUCGAAGGGAGAAAUUCAUUCGCGUUUCGACGUAGGCGUCGGGCGGGGUCGUGUGACGGGACACGUUCUUCGGAGCGAGUUUCGCGCCCUCCGUCCUUCGAACCGGCGACGAACGCGUGCACUUUUCUCCUGGUAGGACGUCGCGAUCCGUCGGGUGUCGGUCUACGACUUGCGGUGGAGACCGUCCGUCGUCUCGUACGUACGGACGGACCCGCUCGUUCCGGCCGACUCGCUCGACGGUAUACGUAAGGUCGGAGGCCGCUCGUUUUUUAGGAGCGUUCGACUCGUUGCAAGCGCGCCACGUGCGUCGGCACGCGGACCCAGUGCCGCGUCCGACCUCUGGUGACUGUUGGCGACGGUGUUCUCGGACAGACCUCUUUUUUUUUCAAAAGACCGAUCGGCGACGCUAUAGCUUUGGGUACUUUCAGGACCCGUCUUGAAACACGGACCAAGGAGUCUAGCAUGUACGCGAGUCAUUGGGAAUCACUAAACCUAAAGGCGCAAUGAAAGUGAAGGUCUUCCUCGCGAAGACCGAGGGAAGACGGACGGUUACAUUAAACCGCCCUAAAAAGUGGGACCGUCCUGCAUUCCCGGGGCGUCUCGUUCACAUCGCGUGAAGAGGCGCACCAAGAGCGUACACGCUGGGACCCGAAAGAUGGUGAACUAUGCCUGGUCAGGACGAAGUCAGGGGAAACCCUGAUGGAGG